GCCUUCGUGGUGUAGUGGUCAGCAUGCUCGACGCGUAACCGAGAGGUCCGUGGUUCGAUUCCCGGCGAAGGCG
rfam:Stegodyphus mimosarum contig49336, whole genome shotgun sequence.